GUCUGAUGGAGCACGCCGCGUGAGUGAAGAAGGGUUUCGGCUCGUAAAACUCUGUUGUUAGAGAAGAACAGCCGUGAGAGCAACUGCUCACGGUAUGACGGUAUCUAACCAGAAAGUCACGGCUAACUACGUGCCAGCAGCCGCGGUAAUACGUAGGUGGCAAACGUUGUCCGGAUUUAUUGGGCGUAAAGGGAGCGCAGGCGGUUUAUUAAGUCUGAUGUGAAAGCCUUCGGCUUAACCGGAGAAGUGCAUCGGAAACUGAUAAACUUGAGUGCAGAAAAGGAUAGUGGAACUUCAUGUGUAGCGGUGAAAUGCGUAGAUAUAUGAAGGAACACCAGUGGCGAAGGCGGCUAUCUGGUCUGUAACUGACGCUGAGGCUCGAAAGCAUGGGUAGCAAACAGGAUUAGAUACCCUGGUAGUCCAUGCCGUAAACGAUGAAUGCUAGGUGUUGGAAGGUUUCCGCCUUUCAGUGCCGCAGCUAACGCAUUAAGCAUUCCGCCUGGGGAGUACGACCGCAAGGUUGAAACUCAAAGGAAUUGACGGGGACCCGCACAAGCGGUGGAGCAUGUGGUUUAAUUCGAUGCUACGCGAAGAACCUUACCAGGACUUGACAUCUUCUGCCAAUCUAAGAGAUUAGACGUUCCCUUCGGGGACAGAAUGACAGGUGGUGCAUGGUUGUCGUCAGCUCGUGUCGUGAGAUGUUGGGUUAAGUCCCGCAACGAGCGCAACCCUUGUCUUUAGUUGCCACCAUU
rnacentral:rRNA from 2 species